GUGGGGGUUAAGCCGGCGGCAGCGGAAGAAACUCCCGGCCUCACAAGAGGGUGCGUUGGAGAGGCCCACAGGGUCCUAGAACGUACACAAAACCACUCACCCAGGAAUCAGCACCGGAAGGGCCCGACUUGCUUGUGGGCAGCGGGGGAAGUGACUGAAAGCCGGCAGAGAGCUGAACAAGGGCACU